AUCCGAAGGGGGCUAGCGUUGUUCGGAAUCACUGGGCGUAAAGCGCGCGCAGGCGGGCUGAUAAGUUGGAUGUGAAAGCCUACGGCUCAACCGUAGAACUGCAUCCAAAACUGUCAGUCUAGAGUCUGGGAGGGGAAGAUGGAAUUAGUUGUGUAGGGGUAAAAUCCGUAGAGAUAACUAGGAAUACCAAAAGCGAAGGCGAUCUUCUGGAACAGUACUGACGCUGAGGCGCGAAAGCGUGGGGAGCAAACAGGAUUAGAAACCCUAGUAGUCC
rnacentral:rRNA from 1 species